rnacentral:rRNA from 1 species
UGGGGAAUAUUGGACAAUGGGCGCAAGCCUGAUCCAGCCAUGCUGCGUGAGUGAUGAAGGCCCUAGGGUUGUAAAGCCCUUUCACCGGUGAAGAUAAUGACGGUAACCGGAGAAGAAGCCCCGGCUAACUUCGUGCCAGCAGCCGCGGUAAUACGAAGGGGGCUAGCGUUGUUCGGAUUUACUGGGCGUAAAGCGCACGUAGGCGGACUUUUAAGUCAGGGGUGAAAUCCCGGGGCUCAACCCCGGAACUGCCUUUGAUACUGGAAGUCUUGAGUAUGGUAGAGGUGAGUGGAAUUCCGAGUGUAGAGGUGAAAUUCGUAGAUAUUCGGAGGAACACCAGUGGCGAAGGCGGCUCACUGGACCAUUACUGACGCUGAGGUGCGAAAGCGUGGGGAGCAAACAGG